rnacentral:rRNA from 2 species
UGGUGGCGAUAGCGAGAAGGAUACACCUGUAACCAUGCCGAACACAGAAGUUAAGCUUCUUAGCGCCGAUUGUAGUGAGGGGUU